rnacentral:rRNA from 1 species
AGCAGCCGCGGUAAUUCCAGCUCCAAUAGCGUAUAUUAAAGUUGUUGCAGUUAAAAAGCUCGUAGUUGAAUUUCGGGAUCAGUAGGUCGGUCAUGCCUCUGGUAUGUACUGGUCUCACUGGUUCCUCCUUCCUGAUGAACCGUAAUGCCAUUAAUUUGGUGUUGCGGGGAAACUGGACUGUUACUUUGAAAAAAUUAGAGUGUUUAAAGCAGGCUAACGCUUGAAUACAUUAGCAUGGAAUAAUGAAAUAGGACGAUCGAUCCUAUUUUGUUGGUUUCUAGGAUUGACGUAAUGAUUAAUAGGGAUAGUUGGGGGCAUUAGUAUUCAAUUGUCAGAGGUGAAAUUCUUGGAUUUAUUGAGGACUAACUACUGCGAAAGCAUUUGCCAAGGAUGUUUUCAUUAAUCAAGAACGAAAGUUAGGGGAUCGAAGACGAUCAGAUACCGUCGUAGUCUUAACCAUAAACUAUGCCGACUAGGGAUCGGAUGAUGUUAAUUUUAUAAUGA